rnacentral:rRNA from 1 species
CCUACGGGAGGCAGCAGUGAGGAAUAUUGGUCAAUGGGCUUACGCCUGAACCAGCCAAGUCGCGUGAGGGAAGACUGCCCUAUGGGUUGUAAACCUCUUUUGUCAGGGAGCAAUUGGCGCUACGUGUAGCGUUAUCGAGAGUACCUGAAGAAAAAGCAUCGGCUAACUCCGUGCCAGCAGCCGCGGUUAUACGGAGGAUGCGAGCGUUAUCCGGAGUUAAUGGGUUUAAAGGGUGCGUAGGCGGAAAUCCAAGUCAGCGGGUAAAUCCGGGGGCCCAAACCCGGCACUGCGUUUGAACUGGGGGUGCUGGAGUGCGGGAGAGGUAGGCGGAAUGCGUGGUGUAGCGGUGAAAUGCAUAGAUAGUAGGAGGAAAACCGGUGGCGAAGGCGGCUUACCGGACCCCAACUGACGUUGAGGCACGAAAGCGUGGGGAGCGAACAGGAUUAGAUACCCGUGUAGUC